AGCGAACGCUGGCGGCAGGCCUAACACAUGCAAGUCGAACGAACUCUUCGGAGUUAGUGGCGGACGGGUGAGUAACACGUGGGAACGUUCCUUUUGGUUCGGAAUAACUCAGGGAAACUUGUGCUAAUACCGAAUGUGCCCUUCGGGGGAAAGAUUUAUCGCCAUUAGAGCGGCCCGCGUCUGAUUAGCUAGUUGGUGAGGUAACGGCUCACCAAGGCGACGAUCAGUAGCUGGUCUGAGAGGAUGACCAGCCACACUGGGACUGAGACACGGCCCAGACUCCUACGGGAGGCAGCAGUGGGGAAUCUUGCGCAAUGGGCGAAAGCCUGACGCAGCCAUGCCGCGUGAAUGAUGAAGGUCUUAGGAUUGUAAAAUUCUUUCAACGGGGACGAUAAUGACGGUACCCGGAGAAGAAGCCCCGGCUAACUUCGUG
rnacentral:rRNA from 1 species